rnacentral:lncRNA from 1 species
CUUGUUUAUCUUUUAUUGGCCCUGUCAUUUUAAACCUAACUUACAUAUGCCCAUUGAUUAUAUACUAUGAGAUAUGUGUCUGUUUUCCCUCUCUUCAUAAGCAGAAUAAGUUAAAUUUUGUUGAACGGUUAUAUUUUAUAUUAAGGAAAUAUUGUUACUUCCUAAAACAUUUUUAUAGAAGUGUUCAGAUGUAGGUAGACCUUGUGUGCAAAAUUGUUCACAGUAAAAAUAGUGAAGGCUUGUACAAUGAUUUCUUUCCCCUUUUGCAGGGAUACCUGUUCUGUGAUGGCCCAGGGAUGAUGUACAGUGGCUCUGGCGGGGCAACACCUCAACUCUUCACUCCUCCUUGCUGUCCAGGAGCUCCCAGCUCUCCCACUUGUACCACAGAGAAUGGUUAAUAAGCAUUGAAUAAAAAUUGACUAAGGGAUUAUCUCUGAGUAACUGCACUGGUGUUAUGUAAAUGUCGGAAAUCGGCAUGCAUUUCUGAUCAAAGCUGUUUUGUCUGAUCAGCGACCUGGAAGCAUUUACGACUUCUAUGGAAGAUUUGAAACUGGUCACUGUUGGUGAACACCAAUUGUGUGCUGGCUCUGGACACUGAUUACACCUUCUGCCUGACUCAGAGGACUUAGGCUCAAUCUCUGCAGAAGCCUUUUACUCACCUCAUUCAGGCUAUGGGGACAUGUCUUCACCCAGGAAGGUUAGAAGAGACUCUGGCGAAGAGCUAGAAGUCGCAUAGUGCCAGAUCUGGUGAGUAAGGUGGAUGAGGACACACUAUGGUGUUAUGAGCUUGCUUUUCCUUUGGAUGGCGCCGAGCAGCAGUGUUCACUGUACUUUUGAUCACAUUUCAUAAGGACGUGAAGGAGGAAUUCCAGGACUGCUUCCAAAAGUGACAAGAACAACGGGAAAAUGAUAAUGGAGGAUAUGACUCUGACACAGAAGACCUGAAUUCCCAGGAGAAUUUGCAUUCAUUAAGUGUGGAAUCUACUGUCAGCUGACUGGGACUCUGUCUCCAUUCAAAUGGAUGGGC